UAAGGGAGAACUCAAGCCCAAAGGAGAUGGUGCCGGAGAAGUUAAUUUCUUUGCAGGAGCCGGAGCAGGAGUUGAUGCAAGUGGUGCAGGAGAAGGCGCUGCCGGAGGAGGUGGAGGGGUAGCGGGUGGAGGUGGAGAGUUCACUUGCGGAGGAGGAGAAGCAGGAGGAGUGGGAGGUGGUGUAGAUGAAACGACCGGUGGUGGUGAAGCAGUUGGUGGUGGCUGAGCCGGUGGCGUUUGAGUGUUAACUGGAGGAGGAGAACUAUUGGGUGUUGGUGGAGCUUGGUUCGUGGGUGUUGGUGGUGCCUGGGUAGUGGGUGUAGGAGGAGCUUGGUUCGUGGGUGUUGGUGGUGCCUGGGUAGUGGGUGUAGGUGGUGCUUGGGUAGUAGGGGGUGUAGGAGGAGCUUGGUUAGUGGGUGUUGGUGGUGCCUGGUUAGUGGGUGUAGGUGGUGCUUGGGUAGUAGGGGGUGUUGGUGGUGCUUGAGUAGGUGUUGGUGGUCCUGGAGGUGCUUGACCACCAACUCCAGCUAUGAUAAUGCAGAUCAUAAAUCCCAACGAAACAGCAUUAUUCCUAUCCAUCAUUUUGACAAUAUAAUGGAGAGGAGGAAAUUGAA
rnacentral:lncRNA from 1 species